CCACCCAUGCCUCCCUCCACCCCUGCACUGGCAUCUUUGGGGGUCAACUGGACAGGCCCCUGCCUCUCCACCUCACUGAGGAUCUGACCUGAUGCUCUCUUGGCCUUGGGAUUCUGGAGGCCUGUCGUGGUAGGUCCUUACAUGGUCCAGGGACCGGGCCCCUUUGCCUCUGGGCCCCUGUAACUGGAGACAGGACGCAACUCUGAUCACCCAGCAGGCAGAGAAAAGGCAGAGGGCCGGCCAGAGGUACUUGGUGAACCAAGGUCUUUGGCCGAGCAGCGUGCUGGGGAAGUCGGGCAGCUGGAGGGAUUCUCUAACGAGGGCAGCGAGAGGGUCCUUUAAAUGUGGAAGAGGAAGCAGAAGGGUGACGCUGUGAGAAACACUGGCCUGGCCACUGAUUUGAGGAUGGAAGGGGAGCCAAGGUAGGCAGGUGGUCCCCAGAAUCUGGAAAAGGCGAGAUCGUGGUCUUCCUCUAGCGCCUUCAGAAGGAGCGCAGCCCUAUUGGAGUUUAGCUCAUUGAGAUCCGUUUUGGACUUCUGACCUCCAAAAUGUAAGAUAAUGAAAU